GAUGAAGAACGCAGCGAAAUGCGAUACUUGGUGCGAAUUGCAGAAUCCCGUGAACCAUCGAGUCUUUGAACGCAAGUUGCGCCCGAAGCCAUUAGGCCGAGGGCACGCCUGCCUGGGCGUCACACGUCGUUGCCCCCCCAUCUACUCCUUCGGGAUUGCGGGGGGCGGAUGAUGGCCUCUCGUGCGCCUCGUCGCGCGGUUGGCCUAAAUGCCAAGUCCUCGGCGACGCACGCCACGACAAUCGGUGGUUGCGAAACCUCGGUUGCCUGUCGUGUGCGGUCGUCGCGCAUCGAGGGCUCGAAAAAAUUGCCGGGCUUCGGCUCGACUUUCAACGCGACCCCAGGUCAGGCGGGGUUACCCGCUGAAUUUAAGCAUAUCAAUAAGCGGAGGA
rnacentral:misc_RNA from 1 species